UACAGAGGUCCCAAGCGUUGUUCGGAUUCACUGGGCGUAAAGGGUGCGCAGGUGGCCGGGAAAGUCUGAUGUGAAAGCUCCGAGCUCAACUCGGAAAUGGCAUUGGAAACUAUCUGGCUUGAGGGUCGGAGGGGAGACUGGAAUUCUCGGUGUAGCAGUGAAAUGCGUAGAUAUCGAGAGGAACACCGGUGGCGAAGGCGAGUCUCUAGACGAUCUCUGACGCUGAGGCACGAAAGCUAGGGGAGCAAACAGG
rnacentral:misc_RNA from 1 species